GAUGAACGCUAGCGGCAGGCUUAAUACAUGCAAGUCGAGGGGCAGCAGGUCUGUAGCAAUACAGAUGCUGGCGACCGGCAAACGGGUGCGGAACACGUACAGAACCUUCCUUCGAGCGGGGAAUAGCCCAGAGAAAUUUGGAUUAAUACCCCAUAGUACAUUGAAAGAGGCAUCUCUUUAAUAUUAAAGAUUUAUCACUUGAAGAUGGCUGUGCGGCUGAUUAGGUAGUUGGCGGGGUAACGGCCCACCAAGCCUACGAUCAGUAACUGGUGUGAGAGCACGACCAGUCACACGGGCACUGAGACACGGGCCCGACUCCUACGGGAGCAGCAGUAAGAUAUUGGUCAAUGGACGCAAGUCUGAACCAGCCAUGCCGCGUGGAGGAUGAAGGUCCUCUGGAUUGUAAACUUCUUUUAUAUGGGAACCAAAAGGAUCUUUCUAGAUCACCUGACGGUACCAUAUGAAU
rnacentral:rRNA from 1 species